GGUUUUUUCCUGUCUUCCCUCCUUUCCAACUCUGCAUGUGAUUGAGAGAAAGACGGAGAACGAGAGAGAGAAAGAGAGAGACAGAAAACAAUGUGAGGGAAAGAGCAAAAGGGGGAAAGAAAGCGAAGCAAGACAACAGAUCAGCAGGCGUGAACUCAUUCAUUUUGUCCUUUAACUCUGGAUUUGGGGUUUGUGUGUGUGUGUGUGUGAGUGUGUGUGUUUGCGUGUGUGUGUGUGUGUGUGUGUGUGUGUGUGUCGGCUCGUUGUGUUUUUUUUUUUUUUCCCUCCAACCUGCCCUGGACCUGUAGGUUUGGAUAUGAAGUAAGUAGAGGCUGGGGAGCAAGGAAAGGCAAAUGUGUGUGUGUGUGUGUGUGUGUGUGUGUGUGUGUGUGUGUGUGUGUGUGUGCCCCCCCUCCUUUUUCUCUCUUCAGUGAGGCAGCAGACUGGUAUGCCUCACUGGCACUGUGGCCCUGGCUGCAAGCACCGCUUCUGUUCAUUCGAUGCUCGCUCUUUAUUUUCUCUCUCUCUCUCUCUCUCUCUCUCUCUCUCUCUCUCUCUCUCUCACUUGCUCGCUCUCUCCGUUUACCUGCUCAAUCCAUCCUUUAAUUAUCACUUCCUUUCAGCGUUUCGUUUUCUGGGAAAAGGAAUCGUCUCGCCGUACCCCCCCUCCCUCACCCCCCUCUCAGACUGCUCACUCUUGCUGUGUGUGUGUGAGACAGAGAGAGAGAGAGAGAGAGAAAGAGGGAGAGGGAGAGAGAGAGAGAGAGAGAGAGAGAGAGAGGGGGAGAGAGUGCACAUGGUUCAUUCCGGCUCAGUCCUACCACCCAUCCUCAUGCCUCGCUUUUCUCGUUUCCAUCCGUCGCUCUCUUUCGUCCGUUGGCCCGGCUCGUCGCUGGACUCGGGGGGGGGGGGCGUCUCGCUGGACGGACCGCCGGCGAGCGAGCUAGAAGAACAACGAACAUGGGCAUCCUGGUCCGGGAUCAAACCCGGGGGGUGGGGGCACAUAAUUCAGUCAAAAGCCCAUGUAUGGAUGACUAAGGGGCGAGGCAGAGACAGCUCCUUGUGGCCCUGCAGGCCUCGGUGUCGGUGUCGUCCCGCUCCGGGUCAGGUCGGACUGAAAGAGAGGCUGGAAAUCCCCGCAUGAAUCAACAUUUUAACACUUUACUGCCACGUCAACCAAAACUGUAGAAAGCGUGGUUUGGGAGUUUGAAGGAGCGAGCUGCCUCUCUCUGCCACGAGCACGCUGGCCCCACUCAGCAUUUCUGAUCGUUCUCUGCCUCAACAGCCUUGAUACAAUCAAAGUUGUGCAAACGCAAUCAGCUAUUGUAUGUCCAUCUGGACACAGAGAUUUGAUUUGGGGGUUUCAAGUUGCUUUUUUUUUUCUUUCUUUCUGUCUUUCUUUGUCAUUUCUUGUAACUGAAGUGGCACAUUUUUUAAAGCAUAGUGUUGCCAGUCCAGUUUAUGAUGAUGGGCUUUUCACUCAGGAGCUGCGUAUGUUUUGAUUUUUAGUAACAUUUUGUUUUUUACACUGGAGACAAUUAAUUUACACACAUACCCUGCUUAUAUAUCCAUAUACCUAUACUGCAUAUGCCCUAUAUAUUUUUCUGCUGCUUUCUAUCGCUUCUUUUCAAAGUCUUUGUCUAUUUUUAUUAUUAUAAGUCUCUCACGUAGCUAAUAUCAUCUGAAUCUUUGUGAAAUACAAAAUUAGAAUUUGAAUCUGCCAGAUUACUAUUUUUAAGCAAUCUGGCAGACAAGGACUAUUUUUUCUGAGCAUAUUUUUAUAUAUAUAUAGAUAUAUAAAGAUAUAUAGAUAUA